rnacentral:lncRNA from 1 species
UCUGACUGUCCGAUGUGAAGGUGCAGACGUUCACCCGUCGGGGAGGGUGGAGUGAGCUUCUGGGUCCCUCGACCAACAAAUCGGGCAACUUUUGUCUAGAAAAGAGAGCCAAGUGCAUGGGUGCUUUAGUGACGUUUAUUCCAAGUUACAGUUCAACAUCAGCCUCACCCGAUAAAGUAUCUCUGUGGGAACCGGACAAAAAGCCAGAGCCCCCACCACCACCCGGCCCCGGCCCGACGGCUAUUUGGUUAGCGGCUCAGCCUGACCCUAGCGCUCGUCCCGUGCCAGGUAAGUAACACAUGAUCUUGGUUUGUUUUCCUCGCUGUGGUGGACUCGUGCGGCCCGUGUCCUUCUCCAUGGUUUUGUCCCCAUUCUUUGAACAGCUUCAUGGGGUUCCAGAACACGCGUCCUGCUGGAGGACAUCUCCUGGGAGCCUCCUGUAUGCACGUGGGUCGUGUCAGUUUCCUGGGGCGGCUGAAACAAGAGAAAUGUGUUGUCUCCGUUCCGCAGUCACAAGCCCGAGGUCGAGGCAUCGGCAGGGCCACGCUGCCUCAGAAACCUCGAGGGGAGGGUCCUCCCUGCCUCUUCCUGCCUCUGGUGUUCCUUGGCUCAUGGACGCAUGGCUCCGGUCUCUGCCUCCGUUGUCAUGGGUGUUUCCCUGCAUGUCCGUGUCUUC